rnacentral:rRNA from 1 species
GACGAACGCUGGCGGCGUGCUUAACACAUGCAAGUCGAGCGGUAAGGCCCUUUCGGGGGUACGACGAGCGGCGAACGGGUGAGUAACACGUGGGUGACCUGCCCUCAGCUCUGGGAUAAGCCUGGGAAACCGGGUCUAAUACUGGAUAUGACUCCAUGACGCAUGUUGUGGGGUGGAAAGCCUUGUGCGGCUGAGGAUGGGCCCGCGGCCUAUCAGCUUGUUGGUGGGGUGANGGCCUACCAAGGCGACGACGGGUAGCCGGCCUGAGAGGGCGACCGGCCACAC